AUUGAACGCUGGCGGCAGGCCUAACACAUGCAAGUCGAGCGGAGCGGCGGACGGGUGAGUAAUGCCUAGGAAUCUGCCUGGUAGUGGGGGAUAACGUCCGGAAACGGGCGCUAAUACCGCAUACUAUCAGAUGAGCCUAGGUCGGAUUAGCUAGUUGGUGGGGUAAAGGCAGACCAAGGCGACGAUACGGAACUGGUCUGAGAGGAUGAUCAGUCACACUGGAACUGAGACACGGUCCAGAUUCCUACGUGAGGCAGCAGUGGGGAAUAUUGUGCCAGGGGCGAAAGCCUGAUCCAGCCAUGCCGCGGGUGUGAAGAAGGUCUUCGGAUUGUAAAGCACUUUAAGUUGGGAGGCGUUACCCACAGAAUAAGCACCGGCUAACUUCGUGCCAGCCGCCGCGGUAAUAC
rnacentral:rRNA from 1 species